rnacentral:miRNA from 1 species
ACUGGUCCAGGAAGAUUCU